CCCUAUGGGGUGGCUGAGUGACCGGAAGAGAAAGAGCGGACAGUUCGCAUUCGGUAUUUUCACCGGCCUUCUUUGCUUCUUCCUCCUGUGUAUUCUGAGUUGGCCACUUUCAUGGCUGAUUCAGUAUGUCUGCUCGAUGGGAUUCACACCAAGACGGUGCUAUGGCCUGCUGUAUUGCAUUGCUGGAGGACUGCUGGUGAUCAGUUUUCUGUCUUGGUCGGUCAGGAAGCCGAAAGCAAUGGAAGCCGAACCAGGCGCUGCACCGAAUGUCGGCCCCGCUACCCCGUUUGGCAAUUCGGGAGUCACGGUGGGGCCGCCAUCGGUGGGCUGAGUCGUUCGGCAUUCCUCACAUGAUCACUAUAGUAGUCGCAGGUCUGAUUGUUCUGAUAGGAAUUGGCGGGAGAGC
rnacentral:rRNA from 1 species